GGUCAGACAAGCAGCACUUUUCAAUAAUUGAUGAUGCUGAGUUUCUAAGUAAAACCAAAAAUGACAGAUGAGUUAACAGAAGACAAGAGCAUAAAAGUCUGUCCAGUUUCUUUCCUCUGCAGACUAAAGAGAAAUGAGUGAUUAAAGUCCAAGCUUGGGAACUGUAGCACUAAGGUUACAGCUCAGAUUCCAUUAAAAGAAAAGAAAAGAAAAGAAAAGAAAAGAAAAGAAAAGAAAAGAAAAGAAAAGAAAAGAAAAGAAGAAAGAAAGAAAGAAAGAAAGAAAGAAAGAAAGAAAGAAAGAAAGAAAAGAAGAAAGAAAGAAAGAAAGAAAGAAAGAAAGAAAGAAAGAAAGAAAGAAAGAAAGAAAGAAAGAAAGAAAGAAAGAAAGAAUCUUGCACGGCAAGAGAAAGAGGUGAGAUGGUAAAAUUUUUGUACAGGUGUCUGGAAUCAAUAGACUACUAUAGGGUGAUAUAAAGACUGAUAUUCCAACAAGAUGGAG
rnacentral:lncRNA from 1 species